rnacentral:rRNA from 1 species
UGCGUAGGUGGUUCGGUAUGUCGGAUGUGAAAGCCCACUGCUCAACGGUGGAAAUGCAUUCGAAACUGCCGGGCUAGAGUGCAGGAGAGGAGAGCGGAAUUCUUGGUGUAGCGGUGAAAUGCGUUGAUAUCAAGAAGAACACCGGUGGCGAAGGCGGCUCUCUGGAAUGCUACUGACACUGAGGCACGAAAGCUGGGGGAGCAAACAGGAUUAGAUACCCUGGUAGUCC